CGUAGGCGGACGACCAAGUCGGGGGUGAAAUCCUUCGGCUCAACCGGAAAUAGCCUUCGAUACUGGCCGUCUGGAGGGAGGUAGGGGCGUGUGGAACUUCCGGUGGAGCGGUGAAAUGCGUUGAUAUCGGAAGGAACUCCGGUGGCGAAAGCGACACGCUGGAUCUCAUCUGACGCUGAGGCGCGAAAGCCAGGGGAGCGAACGGGAUUAGAUACCCCGGUAGUCCUGGCCCUAAACGAUGGGUACUGGGUAGUGGACUUGACAUGGGUUCACUGCCGAAGCGAAAGUGGUAAGUACCCCGCCUGGGGAGUAUGGUCGCAAGGCUGAA
rnacentral:rRNA from 1 species